rnacentral:rRNA from 1 species
AGUGAACGCUGGCGGUAGGCCUAACACAUGCAAGUCGAACGGCAGCACAGUAAGAGCUUGCUCUUACGGGUGGCGAGUGGCGGACGGGUGAGGAAUACAUCGGAAUCUACUUUUUCGUGGGGGAUAACGUAGGGAAACUUACGCUAAUACCGCAUACGACCUACGGGUGAAAGCAGGGGAUCUUCGGACCUUGCGCGAUUGAAUGAGCCGAUGUCGGAUUAGCUAGUUGGCGGGGUAAAGGCCCACCAAGGCGACGAUCCGUAGCUGGUCUGAGAGGAUGAUCAGAGACACUGGAACUGAGACACUGUCCAGACACCUACGGGAGGCAGCAGUGGGGAAUAUUGGACAAUGGGCGCAAGCCUGAUCCAGCCAUACCGCGUGGGUGAAGAAGGCCUUCGGGUUGUAAAGCCCUUUUGUUGGGAAAGAAAAGCAGCAGGUUAAUACCCCGCUGUUCUGACGGUAACCAAAGAAUAAGCACCGGCUAACUUCGUG